rnacentral:lncRNA from 1 species
GGGGGGGGGGAGGGCUCAGGUCGGGAGCUGAGAAAGGGCUGGCGACCCCGCCUCUGCUCUUUCUCUACUUCAAAAGCAGCGUCCCCCCCGGCCAGCUGUGUCCUGGGGGAGCCAGAAGUUUAGCGAGCAGGACUAUCAGUUCCAGAAUAGAGUAAUCGCACAGUCAUAACCCCUUUCGUCUUUCUCUCAACGUGUCUUUUCAGAACACUGUGCCACUCAGUCUUCUAGUGUCCAGGUGAGUGGUCCGUGUUCUUGGUGUCUCUGGGAGGGAGGGAGUCCAGAAUGCAGGCCUCUCCAACCCCGAAUCUGGAUCUGUCUUCCCUCCCCUCCCCGCCAAGUCUGGACCUCCCACCCCCACCGCCCCAAGCCCGGAUCUGCACCCCCCCAUUCCAGAUCUGUACCCACCCCAGUCUGGAUCCGCCCCCAGUCUGGCUCUGCCCUCCCCCGCUUCUGAAUCUGGCCUCCCCACCCCGGAUCUGCAUCUCAGAGUCCCGAGGCCCAGGCACCACAGACUCGUCUGCCCAAAGUGCUGUCCCCACCUGAUGAGCUGGAAGCUGCCGUCUCUGUCUCUCGUGUCUCGGAAGGCAGAGGAGGCAGCCCAGAAGAGAACGGUGACAGUGAGAAGCCUGGCUGGUCCCUGUGAGCACGGGUGCAGGCGCAGCCCAAACGGUCCAAGGUUGCUCUGGGGAAGCGCCCCGUCCUCCAGGCGCCGUUGGCUGACCCCGCCCAGCUGGGUCUUGUCCACGCGAGUGAAAUGUCUGUGGGACACUUCACUUAUUGGGUCCUGGCCAGGCCCAUGUGUCACGACACCAGGAUCCUUUAAUUCCCGUGAUGCUUAGGAAGCACAAAUAGUGUCACCGGGACCAGGAGCCUCGGGAUCCUAUGUGUGGUUGCGUGUAGGGCAGCUUGUCUCUGCUCCUCCGACAGUCCUGGCAGUUCCUAGGACCCCCUCCGGCACGUGAGGUGUCCUCCAAACUAGAUUUCUAGAUUCCAGGCUCUUUCUGGGAGCCCGAGGGCACAUCCCACACUGGUCCCCAUUGCUGGAGGCUCAGGCACCGGGCCCCCGCUUGGGAGCUGGUGGGGUGCAGCCUGCACACAAGCUGUUUCCUGUGUCUGGGGGUGGGGCAGGGGGAGCUGACAUGCAGCCUGCUGGGCCCACAGAGGACAGGGCUCUGGGCAGAAAGCCCUCCUUAUCCCCAAGGCUCUUGAGUGGAGGCAGGGCCUGGCCUGGCCGCACCUGGAAGUAGCCUCUUCAAGUCCUGUGACACAGUGCUGUGUGGGUGGCUUUUGCCCAGUCAGAUGUCGCUGUAACAGAGCCUGUCUGGUGGGCCACCCCACCUUGGGGCCCUCACCUCCUGGCCUGUGUCAUUCCAAUUUGUUUUUUAUUUAUUAUUAUUAUUUUUUGGUCUUUUGCUUUGUAGGGCUGCACUUGCGGCACAUGGAGGUUCCCAGGCUAGGGGUCUAAUCCGAGCUACAGCUGCUGGCCUACACCACAGCCACAGCAACACCCGGAUCCGAGCCGCGUCUGCAACCUACACCACAGCUCACGGCAAUGCUGGAUCCUUAACCCACUGAUCGAGGCCAGGGAUUGAACUCGAAACCUCAUUGUUCCUAAGCAGAUUCGUUUCCGCUGUGCCACUACGGGAACUCCUCAUUCCAAUUUAGACAAUUUGUUUUUUAAAUUUAUUUUAUUGAUGUAUAGUUGAUUUACAAUGGCGUGCUGGUCUCUGCUGUACUGCAAAGUGACUCCGUCACGCACACACUGUUCUUUUUCACACUCUUCCGCUGUGGUUCAUCUCCGGAGACUGACUCGAGCUCCCUGGCUCUACAGCAGGGCCU